rnacentral:rRNA from 1 species
UGCCAGACUCCUACGGGAGGCAGCAGUGGGGAAUAUUGCACAAUGGGGGAAACCCUGAUGCAGCGACGCCGCGUGAGUGAAGAAGUAUCUCGGUACGUAAAGCUCUAUCAGCAGGGAAGAUAAUGACGAUACCUGACCAAGAAGCCCCGGCUAACUACGUGCCAGCAGCCGCGGUAAUACGUAGGGGGCAAGCGUUAUCCGGAUUUACUGGGUGUAAAGGGAGCGUAGACGGUUACGCAAGUCUGGAGUGAAAGGCGGGGGCCCAACCCCCGGACUGCUUUGGAAACUGUAUAACUGGAGUGCAGGAGAGGUAAGUGGAAUUCCUAGUGUAGCGGUGAAAUGCGUAGAUAUUAGGAGGAACACCAGUGGCGAAGGCGGCGUACUGGACUGUAACUGACGUUGAGGCUCGAAAGCGUGGGGAGCAGACAGGAUUAGAUACCCCCGUAUAC